rnacentral:rRNA from 1 species
UACGUAGGGUGCGAGCGUUGUCCGGAAUUAUUGGGCGUAAAGAGCUCGUAGGCGGUGUGUCGCGUCGGCCGUGAAAACCUGGGGCUUAACUCUGGGCGUGCGGUCGAUACGGGCAUCACUGGAGUUCGGCAGGGGAGACUGGAAUUCCUGGUGUAGCGGUGAAAUGCGCAGAUAUCAGGAGGAACACCGGUGGCGAAGGCGGGUCUCUGGGCCGAUACUGACGCUGAGGAGCGGAAGCAUGGGUAGCGAACAGG